GCCCCUGUCUGUCAAUUGGAAAGACAACUUGGCUUCGAACCAGGAAUAGUGGGAGUUCGAAUCUCUCCAGGGGCGCCA
rnacentral:tRNA from 1 species